CAGGACGAACGCUGGCGGCGUGCCUAAUACAUGCAAGUCAAACGGUCUUUCUAUGGAAGCUUGCUUCCGCUGAGAAGAUAGUGGCGAACGGGUGAGUAACACGUGGGUAACCUGCCCAUAAGAGGGGGGAUAACAUCCGGAAACGGGUGCUAAUACCGCAUAGUUUUCUUGAUCGCAUGAUCGGGAAAGAAAAGACGGCCUUUGUGCUGUCGCUUAUGGAUGGACCCGCGGCGUAUUAGUUAGUUGGUGAGGUAACGGCUCACCAAGACGAUGAUACGUAGCCGACCUGAGAGGGUGAUCGGCCACAUUGGGACUGAGACACGGCCCAAACUCCUACGGGAGGCAGCAGUAGGGAAUCUUCCGCAAUGGACGAAAGUCUGACGGAGCAACGCCGCGUGAGUGAAGAAAGGUUUUCGGAUCGUAAAACUCUGUUGUCAGAGAAGAACAAGUUGGAGAGUAACUGCUCCAGCCUUGACGGUAUCUGACCAGAAAGCCACGGCUAACUACGUGCCAGCCGCGGC
rnacentral:rRNA from 1 species